AGCAGCCACGGUAAUUCCAGCUCCAAUAGCGUAUAUUAAAGUUGUUGCAGUUAAAAAGCUCGUAGUUGAAUUUCGGGAUCAAUUCGUCGGUCGUGCUUUUUGGUACGUACUGGCGUUAUUGGUUUCUCCUUUCUGACGAGCCAUGAUGUCAUUAAUUUGGUGUUAUGGGGAGUUAGGACUGUUACUUUGAAAAAAUUAGAGUGUUUAAAGCAGGCAUUGGCUUGAAUACAUUAGCAUGGAAUAAUGAAAUAGGACGUUCGAUCCUAUUUUGUUGGUUUUUAGGAUCAACGUAAUGAUUAAUAGGGAUAGUUGGGGGCAUUAGUAUUCAAUUGUCAGAGGUGAAAUUCUUGGAUUUAUUGAAGACUAACUACUGCGAAAGCAUUUGCCAAGGAUGUUUUCAUUAAUCAAGAACGAAAGUUAGGGGAUCGAAGACGAUCAGAUACCGUCGUAGUCUUAACCAUAAACUAUGCCGACUAGGGAUCGGAUGAUGUUAAUUUUUAAUGACUCAUUCGGCGCCUUA
rnacentral:rRNA from 1 species